rnacentral:lncRNA from 1 species
GAAGAACUGUUGCCCAAUUCAGCAGUGCCAGCAUUCCAACUUUGUUAAACCUACCAACAUCUUAAACGGACUUUCCUGUGGUGGUACCCUGAGAGGCGGAUGAAAGCUACUCUGUCAGUUUGCACAUUCUAAUCACUUUCCAGUAUCACGAGAGAUUUUUACUUAUAUAAUAGUUCUAGAGUAUGCAGCUGGUAAAACCAGAGGCUACAUCCAGUAUUACUGCUAAGAGACAUUCUUCAUCCACCAAUGUUGUACAUGUAUGAAAAUGGUGUACUGUAUACUUUAACACACCCCAUACUUUGUAUUGGAGAGUACAAUAAUGUAAAUCCUAAAAGCACCACUAUUUUAGCAUAAUAAAAGAAAGUCCAAAGAGCUCCUAUAUAGACUACUCCAGAUAACUUUGCUUCUUUGAUACUUGUAGCUUAUUGUAAUUUUUUUUAAAUUCAAGGUCAUUAUCAUUGUAUUAUACAAAAUAAGCGCUUUGAUUAACACAGCUAUAUAGUUUUUUUAAUUUUUCAAAAACCUGUGGAGACAGUGAUCUUGUCUUUAAAAUAUGAUAGUCCUUUCAGUAUAAUGUCUUAGAUUAAAGACGUUGCCUUUAAUAUCUGUUGGGAAGGAAAUGUCCAGACUUUUCAAAUCUCCUUAUUAUAUGUUUCCUUUUUUGUUUACAUAGGGAACAAUGUUUAUAGUUGUGUGUACAGUGGGGGUCUACGUGUAUAUUUUCAAACAAUUUUUUAAUGAUUUAACAAUUUUUGUAAAUCAUUUUCAGGCUUCUGCAGCUGUAGAUUCUCACUGUGACUCCCUUGCUUGCUCAUGCAUAUGUGUGUCUGCAAUACCAAAUAUACAGGUUUAGUAUCUGCCUGUUAGUGAUUGUUUCCCAUGUGUAACGUUUCGGUUGAGAUGUUAACUGGUGGACGAGUACUGUGGAUGUGAAUGUGGGAUGUCAUUUUAAUCAUGUGUAACUGGUCACAAGGCCUAAUUUGCAGUAACUAUUGCUGUUUUAUUUAACAAUGCCUUGUUGUUUUGUAUGCAUAAAUGUUUGGGUGUAAAGAUUGUGUGUCCAUCCAACAGGGAGCCACAGUAUUUAAAUUGACCAACCUGAUGUUACAACGACUUUGAGGUGGCCAAAUGUAAACUAAAAGCCUUAAUUAAAGUGGUGCAAUUUUGUAUAACUUAGCAUCCGUAGUUCAAUAAAUUUGGAUUGCCGUGCAAGGGCUUGCAUUAUAGUUACUUGCCACUGAAUGUGUUUUGUGUAAUGUUUUAACAGUGCUAGUAAAUAAAUAUGGGUUUACCUUUUUAAAUGUAAUAGGUGUUAUUUUACACAGUGUGAUUUCAUAAUUUAUACCGUAUAGGUAAAUCAGACUCUUAAUUCCAAGAAUGAUGAAUGAAAGAUAUCAGGGUUCAGUUUUGGUUUUGUUUUCUUUUCUUUUCUAGAAUUGUUUGACUAUCCACAUAAAACCACCCUUUGAACUUUUCUUUGAGAAAGAAUGUUAUAAAGCAAGCAGUAUUACUUAGGGACAAUGCCUUUGGCUGGUGUUCAGUAACUCUGUGGGGAAAGGAGGAAGGAUUCAAAUACUUUGGGUACUGCACUAUGGAUUUUCUUUUUUCUGAUAGAAUACAAAUCUUUGGGGAAUUAAUACACAGAAAUUUCCACCAUUUAUGCUCAAAAUAUUACUAUGGUUAUACAAUUUUUGAUGUGGAUUCAUGCUACUUUUCUUUUAUUAUCUCUGUCUUAUGUGUGCUAUGAUUGAACUCUGUGAAAUUUAUAAAGAAGCUCUUAAACGUUUUCAUAGUACUUGCCAGCUGCUGGAGCAACUACUUAGUGGUACCUUCUAGUUUGCAGGUGUGCCAGUCCUCCACACGUGCUGUUUGAAAUGGGACAUUAAAGGCUUUCGUU